ACAAUAACAACUAAACCUUAAUUCUUUUUUGUCAUCUAACUCUGUUUGAGACCAAUUCCGCAUCAAUAUUAAAAAAUUGUAUAUCUUUUGAUACUAGUUCCCUCCAUGUCAUUUUAGGUCUCCCUCUUAUCCUUCUCACUCCUUCCACCACUAACUUAUCACAUUUCUGUAUUGGGGCAUUCAAUAAUCUAUGUUAAACAUGACCAAACCAUCUAAAUUGAUCUCUCUCAUUUUAUCCCCAAAGUGAGCUACAUGUACUUUCUGACGGAUGUAGUCAUUCCUAAUCUUAUUCAUUAUCAUAUAGAAAUCAAACAAAUAAAAUAAAUAUUGAAUAAAUGUUAUGUUGUGAUUAAAGUGGUCUAUUUUUUUAAAACCCGUAGCCAUCGGCAAUACAGCAGUCAAGGCACUAUUCAUAUGAAAACUUUCUUCUCUCUAGCAAUCAAGUCUUUCCAUAUUUUUAGGAUCCCAGUCUAAAUAAUUCCUAAAUGAACGUCUCAUCCCAUUCUAUGAUCCUAAAAUAAUUACAUUUGUACUUUGUGAAGAAAAACAAAAGCAAAGUACCAUAUUAAUACCAUAAGCUGCUGUGAAAUUAAUAGUAAAUAGGGUGUAUCAGGACUUUUAACCAGUGGACAUUACAACUACACUUCCAUUGCCUGUAAACUACCUUCACUCUUUCAUAGUCUUGAAACAUACAACAUGCAAGAGUUAAUUUUGUAAAGAGUGCCACAAUGCUGUCCCUUACAGUUAAAUCAUCUAAAAUUGUCGAGAAUUUCUUUUUUUUUUUCUUGGCAAAUUUCCAUGUAGCAUCAUGAGUUCAUGACCAAGCUAAUUUUGCAGCUCAAUGAAGUUGCAU
rnacentral:misc_RNA from 1 species